CACAUACUCCCUCCGUCCAAAAAUACUUGUCAUCAAAAUGAACAAAAAUGGACGUAUCUAGAACUAAAAUACAUCUAAAUACAUCUCCUUUUAUUCAUUUUGAUGACAAGUAUUUCCGGACGGAGGGAGUAUUUU
rfam:Triticum aestivum genome assembly, contig: Triticum_aestivum_CS42_TGACv1_scaffold_404354_5BL